GAUGUGUCGCUGGCGUCACUCCACACCAUUGUGCAACUUGCCCUUCUGACCAGUUUUGGGGGGGUUGCUGUACCCAGGGCUCGGCGCCACACAAAGCUCACGUGGUAAGCCCGGGUUAAACAGUAAGUGUGUUUGAAAAGCUCUGGAUACAAAUGACAAAGGCAGACGGGAGCCAGGCAUUCAAGAGUAGCAGCAGGCCGGUGCUCCGGGCAGCACUGCAGAACAGGGGUCCACACAGAGAGCCACAGCCAGGCAGCCAGGGCCAGGUCUGGUGCCUCUGUCUCCCAGGGCUGCUCCCUGGACACUGGUCUGGCACCACUGGAAGCGAGUGAAUGGGGAGCCCUGCUUGAGGGGCUGGCGACAUGGAAAUGCAGGAGAGUGUGCCAGAGCGGGGCUGAAGGUGAUGCCUCUCGAGCCCCUGGUAAGCCCAGGGCAGGGAGGCCCCGCUGCAGAGGACAGUGGUGACCAAAGUUGGGGCCAGCUCUGCUGAGGGCAGAUGCCACUGGAUGGAAGCAGCACCGAGCAGCUCCGCACAAUCUAUGAUCCCAGGGUCUUGCUAUGCAGUGCAGGCUGGCUGUGAACUCAC